AGCACAGAGCCCUAGGACCUGUCACUGUCACUAGAGACCUCCCUUCAGCUUCCAGAACCACUUGGAGGGACCAGGAAGUCUGUGACUGUGCCACGUGGCACCAUGAAGUCCCCAUCCUCCUGGACCCAAAUGCCUGGCUCCUGGAGGCUCCCUUUGUUUCUCUGCUUCUCAGCUAAGAACAUUAGAGCCUGACACUCAAGGCAUGGUCUCCCCACCAGCACUGCCAUCUGCAUCGCCCGGGAGCUUGCUGGAAAUGCAGAAUCUUGGUCUCUACCCCCAGAUCUGUUGAAUCCAAAUCUGAAUUUUAAUCAAUCCCCA
rnacentral:lncRNA from 1 species